UCCAAGUUCUAACGUAUUUAGUGGAUUUAGUUUGUGUUUAAUACGGAUCAAGUUUAGCAACCAUGGCGUCAUUCUACAAUAUCCUGGUCCUACUUUUGGCUUUUUUCGCCAUCACCACCCAUGGAAUGCAUACUGUGCCCGAACUUAAGGCGGAGUAUUACUCUGGAAGGUGGUAUCAAGUCUAUACGAAUGCUGUAUCGGAUUUUUUCACUGGAGUUUCGGAGCCAGAUUGUGGUACUGCAGAUUACACAUUAGUCAACUCGACAUACGUCCAGGUUUACAACGCCAACUAUCGUCUGGACGAUGAGUUCACGGAUGGACUAGGUGGCUACGCCUACAUUCCAGAUAUAUCUGUCCCAGGACGAUUAAAGGUGGUACUUGAUGGUGUACCAGUGGCGGGAGAUUACUGGGUAUUCAAGCUUGGACCAUUGGUAGAGGGCAAGUACCAGUACAGCUUGGUAACGGACGGGGAGGACGCUCGUCAACUCUACGUACUGUCCCGUGAUCCUGAGGAGUUCUACGAGCUCUACGAUCAGGAGGUCUCGGAGUACGUGGCCCUGAAUGGGUUCACGGGGCAGGUCAAGACACCCUAUACAGUACCCCACCGUCCAGAAUGCCGCUACCCUCCUAACCCACCGGAAUAGGCGAUAAUGUCCAGGGUCCUUAAGCACAAAUAGUUACGAUGUAUUUUUGUUUUAUCUCCCUAAAAUUUAUUUUCUCUUUAACUACAAACAAUCGUAACUUUUACAAUAAAAUAUGAACAAAUAAAUUAUUUCAUAAUAUCAAUAACUGUUUUUAUAGAGUGUUUUCCCACUUAAAACUUGCCAAAGAGCUUUUAAUUGCUAUUACCCCGGUCACUGUAUUCAAUUACUAUUCCGCAAAUUACGGUGCACGUUCUCCACUCCAUGAGGAGCAUUCCAGCUAUAGUCGCACUCAUACAGACGAGACGCGCAAAUGCCAGUCCAGUCACACUGACCUUUCAAUCCUACCGGGUAUACACUUAGCACCUGGGGGGGGGGGGGUGCAAUAGAAUGCCUUGUUCAAGGACACAAGCGCCGUGCCGGGGUUCGAACCCCCGACCCCGACCAAACCACUCGCCUAUGUUACGGAUAGAUACAAUGCAUGAUGGUAAAAUACAAUCAUUAUUGCA